UUUUUUUUUUUUUGGUGAGUUUCUGUCCAUUUGUGACAGAUCUUGCUAUUUUAAUUUUAUAGUUUGUGUUUGUUCUUUUUCUUGGUAUUUCUAUUCGGUUUUUACAGGGACGGAUAUAGUGAUUUUGAUGUGUUUGUCUGAAUUCUCAAGAAACCACAUGAUGAGUGUCACAAGAAGACAUAUACAUAUGGUUGUUUGUGGGCAUCUAUCUAUGGUUGCUAUGGCGUAUAGAUGCGUAAACUGAAGAGUCUGUUUGUAAUCAAUCAUAUCACGUGUAUGAUGAUGGGAUAGCUGGUUUUGUGUUUGGAUGAUGUAAAGCAUCAGGAAGGAUGGCUCAGGAUUCAUUGAUAUUGUGUGAUCCACCGACCUUCGCCAUGACAGGUGCGCUUGCAUGGCAGGUCACCCUUACCCUAAUAAAAAUAUUCAUUUUUUUGGUUUCCGGGGGAGGUCGCACGGGAUUUUGCCCGGGGUCUCCUCCACGGUGUGUUGUGUGUGUCUUUGUGUUGCUUUUCCAUCUUCUUUCCUUUUGGCUCCUGGUAUCUCUAUCUGAUAUGAAGGAUCAUGAUCAAAGCAACGAUACAUCUUCAGCGGUCCGGUCGUGGUGAAGGCAAAGCUGAAGAGCUGAGGAAGUACUUGUCAACUGUAGUGGAAAUUCUACCUCACUUUAUUCAUGGACUUGGAGGACAUGCCAAUCCUUUCUGCAACUCUCUUGUAGUUGUCAGAGAAACUCAUCAGACUCGCGACGACUACAAUUGCAUUGGUACAAUUGUUAUUCAUGCCAAUCCUUUUUUGCCAUCAUUAAAUUUACAAUUCUCUAUGUUUGUUUUAUAUUUUUGAUAGAGAACUGAUUUUGAUUAUAUUUUGAAGUUCUUGUAUUGUAUCAUAUACUAUAUGUUUUAUGGUUUUUCUUAGUAGAUGUAUGUAAGAAAAUGUGGGUUAUGGCUGUAUUCUGGUUAGUUUGCUGCCUGAAAGCUGAUUUUUGUGGAGAGAGCAGUUUAUUAUUGAGCUGCUUGUGAGACACAAGCAAAGCUCUGCAAGUGUUUAGCUGUGGGAUCAAAUGGUGGAGCUGUUCAACAAAUAGUUGGAUCUGUCUGACUCUUCCUACUGUUGGGCAUGACAAGCUUUUAUAUGAUCAAUCGAGGUGAUAGCAAAAAUUUUUGUGGUAUUUGGUAGGUCUUAUUUGUACUUGGUAUGCAUUAUGAUUAUUAUUAUGCUUAGUUUUGAUUA